AACGAACGCUGGCGGCAGGCUUAACACAUGCAAGUCGAGCGCCCCGCAAGGGGAGCGGCAGACGGGUGAGUAACGCGUGGGGAUCUGCCUAGUGGUACGGAACAACUCAGGGAAACUUGAGCUAAUACCGUAUAAGUCCUUCGGGAGAAAGAUUUAUCGCCAUUAGAUGAACCCGCGUCUGAUUAGCUAGUUGGUGAGGUAACGGCUCACCAAGGCGACGAUCAGUAGCUGGUCUGAGAGGAUGAUCAGCCACACUGGGACUGAGGCACGGCCCAGCCUCCUACGGGAGGCAGCAGUGGGGAAUAUUGGACAAUGGGCGAAAGCCUGAUCCAGCCAUGCCGCGUGAGUGAUGAAGGCCUUAGGGUUGUAAAGCUCUUUCGUCAGGGAAGAUAAUGACGGUACCUGAAGAAGAAGCCCCGGCUAACUUCGUGCCAGCCGCCGCAGUAACAC
rnacentral:rRNA from 1 species